rnacentral:misc_RNA from 1 species
GACGACUGAUUUAUCUUCUUCCUGCCCGCAUAAAAAACAACUUGCAAUGAGAUCACCAUUCUGCAGUUAGCAGAUGGCACAUGCUUUCCACUUAACACCUGCUAUCACACCUAACAAGAUCAUCAUUAUGCAGUUUAGCAGAUGGCAUGCGGGUGAGGGGGCUGUUUGACCAGAUCAGAUAUCAGUGUUGAAAGAAUUCCUUAGGAGAUUAAUACUAACUGAUUCCCUCUCUCUCAGGCAAGUCAGUUUCAAGCUCUGUUCAAAAUAUUGUACAAAAUAACAGCAGCGAGAUCACCUUCCUCCAAAGCCAUCAAUGCAGUCCCAUAGGCGAAUUCUAAUGUCUUGUCUAUAACCCAAUUUAUUUGCAAUUUUUUUUUCUUCUUUUAUCCAUUUUAGGAAAAAAAUGCUUAACAUUAUCUAGUCGCGAUAUUUACACUUUCAUUCUCUAUUCAGAUGUAGCCUAUAACAUUAUUUGGUUUUUGUCAAAAUAUUAAUUUACAGUGAGCAUCAGAACUUUACUCGGCAUAGGCAGGGUGUGUUGACCAUUUCAUUAUUGAUAGGACUCUACAGGAAUUUAAUCAUUCCAAAUUUCCUCAUUUCGAAAUAUGAAAAAGAACAUAAACCUUAAGAUAACUCCCUAUUACAAACUUAUAAAAUCAACUCAGCAAUAUAGAUUGACAAGAACACAAAUAAGAUAUUUCAGAUCUCACAUAUAAGGUACACGAAAGACAAGCUGUAUUGACAAGAUCAUGAGUUAGAAAGAUUAUUUUGUUGCUCUAGAAAUGUUCUAAUGACAGAUCACUUAGCCUACACCACCAC